AAUGAACGUUGGCGGCGUGGAUUAGGCAUGCAAGUCGCGCGAGAAGUUUCCUUCGGGAGACGGACAGCGGCGGAAGGGAGAGGAAUAAGUAGAAAUCCGCCCUCGGGACGGGGAUAGCGGCGGGAAACUGCCGGUAAUACCCGAUAACAUCUUUGGAUCAAAUGGUGUGAUUCCGCCUGAGGAUGAGUCUACUUCCUAUUAGCUAGUUGGUGUGGUAAUGGCUCACCAAGGCAACGAUGGGUAGCGGGUGUGAGAGCACGAUCCGCCUCACUGGGACUGAGACACUGCCCAGACACCUACGGGUGGCUGCAGUCGAGAAUCUUCGGCAAUGGGGGAAACCCUGACCGAGCGACGCCGCGUGCGGGAUGAAGGCCCUCGGGUUGUAAACCGCUGUCGUAAGGGAACAAAUCUAAGAGGGUACUCCCUUUUAGUUGAGUGAUCUUAGGAGGAAGGACGGGCUAAGUUCGUG
rnacentral:rRNA from 1 species